rnacentral:rRNA from 1 species
AAGGUGCUGCAUGGCUGUCGUCAGCUCGUGCCGUGAGGGGUUGGGUUAAGUCCUAUAACGAGCGAAACCCUUUUACUUAAUUGCCAGCACGUAAUGGUGGGGACUUUAAGUAGACUGCCCGUGUAAGCGGGAGGAAGGAGAGGACGAGGUCAAGUCAUCAUGGCCUUUAUGCCCAGGGCUACACACGUACUACAAUGGCAUGUACAAAGGGAAGCUACUUGGUAACAGGAUGCAAAUCUCAAAAGCAUGUCUCAGUUCGGAUUGAGGUCUGCAAUUCGACCUCAUGAAGUUGGAAUCGCUAGUAAUCGCGUAUCAGCAAUGACGCGGUGAAUACGUUCUCGGACCUUGUACACACCGCCCAUCAAGCCAUGGGAGUUGG